AACGAAGAUGGCGACCGGCGCACGGGUGAGUAACACGUAUCCAACCUGCCUCAUACUCGGGGAUAGCCUUUCGAAGAAAGAUUAAUAUCCGAUAGCAUAUAUUUCCCGCAUGGGUUUUAUAUUAAAGAAAUUCGGUAUGAGAUGGGGAUGCGUUCCAUUAGUUUGUUGGGGGGGUAACGGCCCACCAAGACUACGAUGGAUAGGGGUUCUGAGAGGAAGGUCCCCCACAUUGGAACUGAGACACGGUCAA
rnacentral:rRNA from 1 species